CAGGAAGUGAAGUGACUUCCAGGUUCUUGCCAAUUCUUCUCUCGACCCCAGACUGACAUGGCUUCAGCCCCAGCUCAGUGCUACCAAGAGUCCACUAAACUCCUCUUCCUCAUUGCUCUGUGGUGUGCUUUACCGAGCGGUGGAGCCACAGUGAAGGUGACCCAGGAACCAUCCUUUGCCAGCUCCUUCCAAGGGGGGAGGUGGGAAUUCAAAUGCUCACAUUCUGACAGCAGCAACUACCAUUUCUUCUGGUAUCAUCAGCUGCCUGGGAAGAAAGAGCUACAGCAUAUCGGGACCUUGUAUUAUCACCAGGAAGAGCUGCAGGAGAUCUUUGAACAACACAACCCAAAGGACUGGCUGAAUGGAAAAUGGCUGGAGAAUGGAAAGAAAAUGAGUCUUGAGCUUCAAGGUCUUCAGCCUAGCGACACAGGGCUUUAUCUGUGUGCUGCAAGGGACACGGUGAGACAGGCAGGAACUGCUGCUGCUGCAAAACUGAGCGCCGGCGUCAAACAGCCCCAGCUCCUCCCUUGUGCUGCUGGCACAUGCCCAAUAUCAUGUACAUACAGUAUCACUUCCCACAACUAG